rnacentral:rRNA from 1 species
GAUGAACGCUGGCGGCGUGCCUAAUACAUGCAAGUCGAGCGAACAGACGAGGAGCUUGCUCCUUCGACGUUAGCGGCGGACGGGUGAGUAACACGUAGGUAACCUACCUAUAAGACUGGGAUAACUUCGGGAAACCGGAGCUAAUACCGGAUAAUAUUUCGAACCGCAUGGUUCGAUAGUGAAAGAUGGCUUUGCUAUCACUUAUAGAUGGACCUGCGCCGUAUUAGCUAGUUGGUAAGGUAACGGCUUACCAAGGCAACGAUACGUAGCCGACCUGAGAGGGUGAUCGGCCACACUGGAACUGAGACACGGUCCAGACUCCUACGGGAGGCAGCAGUAGGGGAUCUUCCGCAAAGGGCGAAAGCCUGACGGAGCAACGCCGCGUGAGUGAUGAAGGUCUUCGGAUCGUAAAACUCUGUUAUUAGGGAAGAACAAACGUGUAAGUAACUGUGCACGUCUUGACGGUACCUAAUCAGAAAGCCACGGCUAACUACGUG